UAUGACUUAAUAAAAUUCACAUGCCUGAGACCUGUUGUUGCCAGUGAAACUAUUUCAUCCAACAAUGAAAUAUUUGGAUUGGCUGAUGUGGACUACCAGCUGGCUAAACAUGGGACCAAAAAUGAGGAUGGAAUUGAAACUUGUCCUUAUGCUAAGGCAACCCUAAAGCUGUUUGCCUGAACCAGAAAUAUAUGACCAUGAUUUUAACAACUGCAUGCAAGACAGAAAUAGGACCUUAGGUCUGUGCAAGGUGGGGACUGCUGCAGGGCAGACAAAAGGCAAAGAGCAUUGCAGGAAGAAGGAAGUGCAGAGACCAAGGAAGCAGGUCCUAGGACAGCAAGACACUCUGAGAACUGACUUCUUCCCUGCUUAGAGGUACCUACCUGGGGAAGAUUUUUCCACCACUCAAGGAACAUUUGCAAGGACCAGUGGAACAAGAAUCUGGAACAUCAAGGAAAGAGAAGGAGACUUCACAUGACAGGAGAAGGUGACCUUAUCCUUCUACUCAGAGAGUAAAAACAUGAUUUAUUUUUUUCACAUAAGGAGGACAUGUUCACUGAAAAACUUACACCUGAAUGAUAUUUCCAAACUACAUUCUUCCAAGUCAGGUAAAGGGGGGGCAGUGAUUGCUUCUUCAUUUGUGAAAAGACAGCUGAUUGAGACAAGGACAAUGACUGAGAAGCCCUCCAGGGCCUUCAUUGCUCUUCACUUAAAAUAAUCUGCAUUCUCUAAGUAAUGGUAAUAGACUUCUCU